rnacentral:rRNA from 1 species
GACGAACCGUGCGAACGUUGUUCGGAAUCACUGGGCUUAAAGGGCGCGUAGGCGGGCCGGCAAGUCCGGGGUGAAAGCCCCCAGCUCAACUGGGGAAGCGCCUUGGAUACUGCCGGCCUCGAGGGAGGUAGGGGCGUGCGGAACUUCCGGUGGAGCGGUGAAAUGCGUAGAUAUCGGAAGGAACACCGGUGGCGAAAGCGGCGCGCUGGACCUCUUCUGACGCUGAGGCGCGAAAGCCAGGGGAGCAAAGCGGG